rnacentral:rRNA from 1 species
AAGGGUAAAAUCAGAAUAUAGUUUAUAAACAAAUAACUUGAGCUGAAACUUAAUAAAUUUAGUUUAAAACUAGGAUUAGAUACCCUAUUAUUCUAAAUUGAAACGAAUAAAUACUGGAUUAGUAAGAGUUAUAUACUUAAAAAUUAAAAAAUUUGGCAGUAGUUUAAUCUUUUUAGAGGAACCUGUUUUUUAAUCGAUACACCGCGUAGGAUCUUACUUGAGUUUGUAUACCAUCAUUAUCAGAUGAUUCUAAAAGGAGAAAUUGUUAGGUUUAGUUUAUCUAGUAAAAUUAGAUCAUGGUACAGCUUAUGAGCAAGUUUAAAUGGGUUACAAUAAAUUAAUUUAAACGGAAUAUAAUAUAUGAAGGAGGAUUUAAUUGUAUGAGGAUAAAGUAUGUCCUCAAGAAAUAGGCUCUAAAUUAUGUACAUAUCGCCCGUCGCUUUC